rnacentral:rRNA from 1 species
UAAGGAGGGUGCAAGCGUUAAUCGGAAUUACUGGGCGUAAAGCGCACGCAGGCGGUCUGUCAAGUCGGAUGUGAAAUCCCCGGGCUCAACCUGGGAACUGCAUUCGAAACUGGCAGGCUUGAGUCUCGUAGAGGGGGGUAGAAUUCCAGGUGUAGCGGUGAAAUGCGUAGAGAUCUGGAGGAAUACCGGUGGCGAAGGCGGCCCCAUGGACGAAGAAUGACGCUCAGGUGAGAAAGCGUGGGGCGCCCACAGGCGGCGAUAACCCUGUAGUCC